rnacentral:rRNA from 1 species
UCCAGACUCCUACGGGAGGCAGCAGUGGGGGAUAUUGCACAAUGGGGGAAACCCUGAUGCAGCGACGCCGCGUGGGUGAAGAAGUAUUUCGGUAUGUAAAGCCCUAUCAGCAGGGAAGAAAGAAGACGGUACCUGACUAAGAAGCCCCGGCUAACUACGUGCCAGCAGCCGCGGUAAUACGUAGGGGGCGAGCGUUAUCCGGAUUCACUGGGUGUAAAGGGAGCGUAGACGGCCAAGCAAGCCAGGGGUGAAAGCCCGGGGCCCAACCCCGGGACUGCCCUUGGAACUGCUUGGCUGGAGUGCGGGAGGGGCAGGCGGAAUUCCUGGUGUAGCGGUGAAAUGCGUAGAUAUCAGGAGGAACACCGGCGGCGAAGGCGGCCUGCUGGACCGCUACUGACGUUGAGGCUCGAAAGCGUGGGGAGCGAACAGGAUUAGAUACCCUGGUA